CCGGCGAUUUCCGAAUGGGGAAACCCAGUGUGAUUCGUCACACUAUCAUUAACUGAAUCCAUAGGUUAAUGAGGCGAACCGGGGGAACUGAAACAUCUAAGUACCCCGAGGAAAAGAAAUCAACCGAGAUUCCCCCAGUAGCGGCGAGCGAACGGGGAGGAGCCCAGAGCCUGAAUCAGUGUGUGUGUUAGUGGAAGCGUCUGGAAAGGCGUGCGAUACAGGGUGACAGCCCCGUACACAAAAAUGCACAUACUGUGAGCUCGAUGAGUAGGGCGGGACACGUGGUAUCCUGUCUGAAUAUGGGGGGACCAUCCUCCAAGGCUAAAUACUCCUGACUGACCGAUAGUGAACCAGUACCGUGAGGGAAAGGCGAAAAGAACCCCGGCGAGGGGAGUGAAAAAGAACCUGAAACCGUGUACGUACAAGCAGUGGGAGCCUCUUAAUGGGGUGACUGCGUACCUUUUGUAUAAUGGGUCAGCGACUUAUAUUCUGUAGCAAGGUUAACCGAAUAGGGGAGCCGAAGGGAAACCGAGUCUUAACUGGGCGUUAAGUUGCAGGGUAUAGACCCGAAACCCGGUGAUCUAGCCAUGGGCAGGUUGAAGGUUGGGUAACACUAACUGGAGGACCGAACCGACUAAUGUUGAAAAAUUAGCGGAUGACUUGUGGCUGGGGGUGAAAGGCCAAUCAAACCGGGAGAUAGCUGGUUCUCCCCGAAAGCUAUUUAGGUAGCGCCUCGUGAAUUCAUCUCCGGGGGUAGAGCACUGUUUCGGCAAGGGGGUCAUCCCGACUUACCAACCCGAUGCAAACUGCGAAUACCGGAGAAUGUUAUCACGGGAGACACACGGCGGGUGCUAACGUCCGUCGUGAAGAGGGAAACAACCCAGACCGCCAGCUAAGGUCCCAAAGUCAUGGUUAAGUGGGAAACGAUGUGGGAAGGCCCAGACAGCCAGGAUGUUGGCUUAGAAGCAGCCAUCAUUUAAAGAAAGCGUAAUAGCUCACUGGUCGAGUCGGCCUGCGCGGAAGAUGUAACGGGGCUAAACCAUGCACCGAAGCUGCGGCAGCGACACUAUGUGUUGUUGGGUAGGGGAGCGUUCUGUAAGCCUGUGAAGGUGUACUGUGAGGUAUGCUGGAGGUAUCAGAAGUGCGAAUGCUGACAUAAGUAACGAUAAAGCGGGUGAAAAGCCCGCUCGCCGGAAGACCAAGGGUUCCUGUCCAACGUUAAUCGGGGCAGGGUGAGUCGACCCCUAAGGCGAGGCCGAAAGGCGUAGUCGAUGGGAAACAGGUUAAUAUUCCUGUACUUGGUGUUACUGCGAAGGGGGGACGGAGAAGGCUAUGUUGGCCGGGCGACGGUUGUCCCGGUUUAAGCGUGUAGGCUGGUUUUCCAGGCAAAUCCGGAAAAUCAAGGCUGAGGCGUGAUGACGAGGCACUACGGUGCUGAAGCAACAAAUGCCCUGCUUCCAGGAAAAGCCUCUAAGCAUCAGGUAACAUCAAAUCGUACCCCAAACCGACACAGGUGGUCAGGUAGAGAAUACCAAGGCGCUUGAGAGAACUCGGGUGAAGGAACUAGGCAAAAUGGUGCCGUAACUUCGGGAGAAGGCACGCUGAUAUGUAGGUGAAGUCCCUCGCGGAUGGAGCUGAAAUCAGUCGAAGAUACCAGCUGGCUGCAACUGUUUAUUAAAAACACAGCACUGUGCAAACACGAAAGUGGACGUAUACGGUGUGACGCCUGCCCGGUGCCGGAAGGUUAAUUGAUGGGGUUAGCGGUAACGCGAAGCUCUUGAUCGAAGCCCCGGUAAACGGCGGCCGUAACUAUAACGGUCCUAAGGUAGCGAAAUUCCUUGUCGGGUAAGUUCCGACCUGCACGAAUGGCGUAAUGAUGGCCAGGCUGUCUCCACCCGAGACUCAGUGAAAUUGAACUCGCUGUGAAGAUGCAGUGUACCCGCGGCAAGACGGAAAGACCCCGUGAACCUUUACUAUAGCUUGACACUGAACAUUGAGCCUUGAUGUGUAGGAUAGGUGGGAGGCUUUGAAGUGUGGACGCCAGUCUGCAUGGAGCCGGCCUUGAAAUACCACCCUUUAAUGUUUGAUGUUCUAACGUUGGCCCCUGACCGGGGUUGCGGACAGUGUCUGGUGGGUAGUUUGACUGGGGCGGUCUCCUCCUAAAGAGUAACGGAGGAGCACGAAGGUUGGCUAAUCCUGGUCGGACAUCAGGAGGUUAGUGCAAUGGCAUAAGCCAGCUUGACUGCGAGCGUGACGGCGCGAGCAGGUGCGAAAGCAGGUCAUAGUGAUCCGGUGGUUCUGAAUGGAAGGGCCAUCGCUCAACGGAUAAAAGGUACUCCGGGGAUAACAGGCUGAUACCGCCCAAGAGUUCAUAUCGACGGCGGUGUUUGGCACCUCGAUGUCGGCUCAUCACAUCCUGGGGCUGAAGUAGGUCCCAAGGGUAUGGCUGUUCGCCAUUUAAAGUGGUACGCGAGCUGGGUUUAGAACGUCGUGAGACAGUUCGGUCCCUAUCUGCCGUGGGCGCUGGAGAACUGAGGGGGGCUGCUCCUAGUACGAGAGGACCGGAGUGGACGCAUCACUGGUGUUCGGGUUGUCAUGCCAAUGGCACUGCCCGGUAGCUAAAUGCGGAAGAGAUAAGUGCUGAAAGCAUCUAAGCACGAAACUUGCCCCGAGAUGAGUUCUCCCUGACUCCUUGAGAGUCCUGAAGGAACGUUGAAGACGACGACGUUGAUAGGCCGGGUGUGUAAGCGCAGCGAUGCGUUGAGCUAACCGGUACUAAUGAACCGUGAGGCUUAACCUUACAACGCCGAAG
rnacentral:rRNA from 1 species